UACUCAGCAAGAUUCUGGUUUUACUUCUCAUCUUGGGAGUUACCACCAAGACGUUAGGUAUGGCUGUGUGACCCACUUUGGCCAAUGAAAUGUGAACAGAAAUGGCAUAUGUCAUUUGUGGACAAAAACAUUUAAGCAAGAAUUUCCCUUGCUGUCUUCCUUGACUGGAGCGACCAUGGAAGCCUGUGUUGAGAUGAAGAAGCUGCCAAAAGAUCAAAACACUUGAAAACUUGAGCAGCCACAUGGACUACAGCUGUGCUGGAGACUUACCUGGACCCACAGCAGGCUUGAGACAUUGCCCAGACUGGUCUCAAAUUCCUGGGCUGAAAUGAUCCUCCUGCUUUGGCCUCCCAAAGUGCAGGGAUUACAGUCAUGAACCACUGAGCCUGGCCCAUCUUGGCACUUUUGAUCGUGGACUUCUAACCUUCAGAACUGUGAGAAAAUAAAUUUCUGUUGUUUAAGCUA